AAUUUCAAAUUCUGAUCUAAUCAUUCAAACACUAAAUGGUUUGGAUUCUGAAUAUAAUCCUGUAGUUGUCAAACUGUCCGAUCAAACCGCACUCAGUUGGGUGGAUUUACAAGCUCAAUUGCUGACUUUUGAAA
rnacentral:snoRNA from 1 species